ensembl:lncRNA
UGGGAAACGGAGCUUGAUUUGCCUAGGGUUCCACUGAAGAUCAAGAUAGAAUCAAUUGUCCACAUCAAAGAGUUUGCUGAUUCAAGCAGAUGGUUUUCUAAACUGACUCCCAUGUAACUUCUCCCUCACUCCAAGUAACAGGCAUUUCCUUGACCUCAGCUUGUGUUCCAGCCCCUUCCAUGCCUGAAGGAAAAUCCAAGGACUUUCAGGAUCCAAAUAAAAGAAGUUUGGGGGGAUCUUCCCAACCUAGGGAUUGAACCCAGGCAAAAAAAAGAAGUCACUGUUUCUCACAAACAUAUCCUUGAACUUCUCCUUCUCACCACUCAACUAAAG